GGGCUCUCAGGGUCGCACCCGGAUAGUUUCCAGCACUCUACCAGUCUCGGCUAUGGGAGGGAAAGUCAAGCAGAAGCCUACCCAUUCCAUUCCUAGCUUGGGUAGUGGCUAGUGAGUGGAAGGCAAUCUGCUACAGGU